GGAUGCUCCCAGAGGUUGCUUGAUUUCCUCCCUCCCUCCCUCCUUCUUUCUUUCCCUCCUCCCUUUUCCUUCACUUCGCCCGCUCUCUCUCUCUCUCUUUUCUGUACCUAAAAAAGUAGAGAUAGUUCGUUUUUUGAAGACGGUACUAUUAAUGGUAAUCUGUGAGGAUGUGGCUGGAAAAAAAUCUAACUAAAAAAACCCUGCGAUCUUCUCUUCCUUUGACCUCACCAGUUGUUCUGCAGGCUUAUAAGUCCACCUGUCCCUGAUUCCAUGAAUAUUUGCAGAGCCCUUGUUCUAAGUCCCUGGGCUGAGUGAUGUGGGGUGAGGCUAGCCCCAUGGAAAGCAGUGUAGCUGGCAAGAUGGGCCAUUGGGAUUACAUGAUGAAGCUGUGUGUGAAUUGAUGGCCAGGUGGGAUGUUAGAGAAGGGGGGAUAAACAAAAGUCGGUUACUGGAUGAUGGGCACGAUGUCCGUUCUAUUCCCCAAACCCCGCAAGAUAAGCAGGGUUAUUCCCUUGUUACAGCUGAGGACAGGGAAGCACAAAGACAUUAAUUUGGUCGAUUGGUUGCAGCAUUAAGACCGUAUUACCAGAAUUAACACGUAACCCAGCUGGUACAACUUGUACCUGGGAAUCUCCAGCUGUAAUUUUAACUCAGCUCUGUAUCUGAACCCCCUCUCGGUUCUGUCCUACUCCAUCAGCACAGGAAAAGAGCGAUAACAGAGGCAGAGGCUUCUGUGUAGGCAGCUGCUUUCGAAAGUGAAUCCUCCAGAGUGAUUUUUUUUAAGGGGAAUGCAUGUAAAGAUCAUUUACCAGCUAAUUGGUAAUGUUCUCUUUCAGUUUGGGUUGUGUGUGUAUAUAUCAGGGUAUGCAGUGACUUGAAACCAUGGGUUUUCAUUAUUUUAGCUGGAGUGCGCCUCCUCUUGCUCUGCCUGAAACAUCCCCGUCAGGGUGCCUCCUGCCCCCUGAAACGUUUUGGCGUCGUCCCUCCCCUGAUAAUAUGUACACAAAUGGAUGUUCCCCACCUCCCUUCUCCCCAGCAGAGCACACAAACAGCAAGCAGACAGGCACCAUCUCAGCGGCUGCAACUCAGGGCCCAUAAUAUUGUGGCAGAAAGUGGAAAAUUAAACAGCCUGCACUGGGUGCAGGAUAAUAGCAUAAUAGGAUAAGUGAGAGAGUUGCGAGGUGGUAAUGGCCCUGGAGAUGUCGAGAUUCUGGGAAAGUAGGGCAGUGUAAACGUGGAGACGCCACUGGUGGGAUCCAGGCAGUUGUGAGAGGCUCUGAAUGACACACUAUGGAGACGUGUUACACAACACAAUGAACAGUAAUAAAGUAACCAUCGGGCCUUACACUUGGCAGAUGUUCCCUGUUUGGAGGGCCACCUCCCUGGCCAUGAAUACCAGCAUAGCCAUGGUUAUAAAUGGCAAGGUUAAAAACUGCCUCUUCCUGCAGCCAAUGAAAAUUGAAGAAAGUGAGAAUCAAAACAACUGGUGUGGACUCCCCUUGUGGUGCAGGAGGUCAAGGAUCAGGCAUGGUCGCUGCUGACCUUCCACAUGCCGUGGCCAAAAACAAGCCAACAAAACAACUGAUGCUUCCCUUCCUCCCUUGAUGGAUUCUCCCGUUGACCAGCAGUGGGCGGCGCACAUGCUCUCAUCCUGUCUUAUUCCAGUCCAAGAAACAGCUCUAUCAGUAAGCAGCUAGAUCAGAAGGGAUUGAGACCAAAACUAAGCUCUUUGUUUCUAAAAGUCUGUUUGAAAAUUUAGUUUCUAGUUUGAGUGUGUGUGUGUCGGGGGGGAAGGCUUGAUGCUUGAUGUUUUGUGUAGAUGAUCCUACUCGGUCCUCACAGCACCACGUUAAGGUUGUUGGUGGCAUCAUUCUGAUCUUAAAGAUGAAGAGGCUGAGGUGCUAAGAAGGGAAGCGACUUGCUCCACGCCACCAGUGGUGAAGUCAUGCUUCUCCACCUCUGGAUGACUCCCAGGUCCCUGCUCUUUCCCCUUCACCCUGCAUUUCCCAGGGUCCUUUCCCAAAUAGCCAUUAUCCACAAAAGGGCCUUUGGACAGGAAGAGCUUCUCUUUAAGCCUCUGGAACUUUGGAAUCAACUAAUCCAAGCCUUCAAGUAAUUGGAAUGAUGCUUGUAUAUUUCAAUUUGAGAUGAAAGAGACAAAGGAGAGCAAACCACUUAGGAGUUUAGACAAAACUUUGAAUGUAUAUUUAUUACAGUAUGAUUUUUUCAGCUCAAUAAUCUAUAUUUUCUAUACUAUUAUGCUAUGACUCCUAAAGUUUAGAACAAUGACCCAAAGGGGUGGCAAAUACAUGCAUGGUUAAAGAGGACCAAGAAAGAGUACUGACUUUGAAAGUUUUAAGGAUACUGGCUUGAACCGCCAUGCAACCCAUAGGUCCUGUCUCUGGGCAAACCCAUCCCUGUAUCUUCAGUUCCGUCAGCUGGAAGGCGGUUAUGCAGCGCUUCCAGAGGUGGUUGUGAAAUGUCAGUGUGAUAGCAAGUGUAUACGUCACCCAGCAGGGGGUGUGCCUUGUCCCUCAGAAAAUCCUAGUUUUCUUCGUAAAGCAGAAGGUUAAUUUUUAACCACAAGCCAAACAAAAUGAAUAUUGAUCAUUUAGAAUUUUUCUUUUUGCUUUGCCUUUUUUUUUUUUUAACAAUUAUUGCGGCGUCUGUGAAAUGGGUCAAGAGGGUUGGGAAGGCUUGGGCUGUUUGCCUUGGUAAGUGGUGAAUAUGUGCCCUCAGUGUGGACUUUAUGUUCUGGCCAUCAGCUCUCUGCCACCUCCAUCAUCCCUGCUUCUAUCAGUGUGGGUUCUCAUAAUGGUAUGUCAUAUAUUGGACAAUAGCAAUAACAAUAAUGUAGAGGUUUGAGCCAUCCACAGUAGAAUUUACCACUUUAUUGCUUUAAUUCAAUGACCCAAUUUUCUUGAAGCCGACUCUGUUGAGGGAAGUAAAUGGUGGGGUACUAGGAUUAAAUCUCCUUGUUUUCUACAGUUUUUGAUAAUCUAUGGUUUUAUGCUUCCACCCUCUGCCUGAAAAACUCAGUCACCUUCGAAGCCAUUUGUUCUUGUUCCUGUGAAUCCAGACAGGGCAAGUGCAUGCCUGCAACCCCAACAUGGGAAGACCAUGAGGAAGAGAAUGACCCUAAAAGGGCGUAUUUGGUUGUAUGCACAAAUGAGUUCUUGGCAUUGGAGUUCAGAUUACUGUCUGACUUGGUGGUGAGACAGACGCAGGUUUGAGUCCUGGAUUUACUGCUCACAAUCUUGGGAUACUGGGAAAGUGACUUGACUUCCCUAAGCUUUAGUUCUGUUACUGGUAAAAGGUGUCUGGUAAUGUAAUUAGUUCUCAAGCAUUUUAAGUCAUUAAAUAAAAACUGCUUUCUGUUUAUCCUCCUGUUAGUAACCUCGCUGAGCCAUCUCACUGUCUCUUCUGAGAGGGGCGUAUCGUUUAGCGCUAUCAUCCUAAAAAUAGUAUGACAAUACUGAAAAUUGAUAUUUUCUCUUUGAAUUGGCUGGAUGGGCACUGUGCUCUUGGGGCUUCUCGGUUGAAGAGGAUGCAAUGCUGUACACCCCCGACUCCUGUGCUUUCUGUCUGCCUCUUCCUCAUCCCCCCUCCCAAAGGAGUCGGUGGCUAAGGGGCAAUGUCCCAUGGCAGCUGUAGGGCUUCCAUCAGGAGCCCCACACAUGGAGGACAUUUUAUCUAAAUUUGCAAUGAUUUGCUUCUCACUGCAGACACUUCUUUUUAGCAUUAUUGAUCUCCUCUGACUCCUGAGCCACAUCUGAUGUCUCUGACCCUGGUUUGCAGCAGGAGCAGUUGGAGGAACCACCUGAGACCGUCUGGCAUUGUGAUAAUUUCCGCUUCUCUUUCUGUUUGUAUCAGCCUUCUUGUUCUGCCUUGAAAUAGUUUUGUGCCAUUGCAGGUGGGGUCUGGAGCCUGCAUCCUUUGUGUCAUGCCUCUCAAUAGGGUACUGACUUUUCUUGGGCUCAGGAUCCCUCUCCUAUAAGGACUGGGCUGUCCCAGGGCCAGAAUGGCUCUCAAAGCUUGGGUUUCUUUUCCAGGAACUCAGCCAGUAUAAUUUCUGAAUAUAACUGGAAGGGGGAGGGAGAAGAUACUAUUUAAUCAGUGCAUAUAAACAGAAAUGACAGUAUAAGAUGAGGAAGAAAGGGACUAAAAGGAGGGGCACCAUCUUUUGCUUUUUUUCCUUCUUAGAAUUGAAAGCUUUCCUGAAUUACCUCUAGGGCUUUAGUGAGAAAAGUCCAGGAAAUUUUUUCUUUACUUUUAUCCAGCCAAGGAACAGCUAUAAAUAUUAGGCUCCCUUAAUUGCUGUGGCCCAUCAAACUGCCCUCUUGCAGCUUGGCACUGCUCAUGACCCCAAGCCCACUUCUUUUCUCUUUUAUUCUGGGUCCUUCAAUGAAUAUCCAAGUCACCUGCUGUCGGUGCUAUCUCAUAGUCACUGCUUCUGGGCACCUUGAAGCCCUGAGGUCACUCAGAGAGAAGGGUAAUAACCCCAGGGAAGGCAGAGGAGCCCUGCUUGCAACAUUGAAUUUUCAUAAGAGAAUGAUGAUAACAUGAAUAAGUGGCAAAUAUAUUGCAGAGAAUGGGCUGCUGAUGCACAGAGAAAGGAUCAAUAGAGGCCCUGUCUGCAUGGAGAAAGAAGUAAAUCAGAGAGUUGGGGUAAUUACUUAAGAAAUUUUCUCCAGAGCCUCUGCUCAGGAGGGGUUUAAUUUGAUUGCUUGCUUUAAAUUUAUUGCCCCCUCAAUUCAUCAGCUUUAUCAGAUUUUACUUGUAUAGGCCCAUAUUCAUUCCACCUCUCUCUCUCUGUCAGUUUCUUUCUCUCCCCUCCCUACUCUUUUGCUGUGCGGAUGCAUGUCUAUUUUUCUAGGCAGGUGACAACUGAAUGAUGGGUCUCUACCAAUAAUCUCAAAUAAUCUCAUCCUUAGUCUAAACUUCAUUUUAUUUCAAAACCGGCAGUAUUAUCUAAAUUGUUAACAAAUCAGUGCAUUAAAUUAUGGUUCCUAGAAGGUGAAAGACAAAUAGUUGACUAUCACACCCUUACCCUGAGUAUAGUGUUCUCUGUAUCAUAUAAUUAUUUUAUGUUUUUGCUGGCAUGGCUAGCACCAAGCAUCCCAGUACAUCACAUACACUCUGUUGCUUUAACCUGUUGCCAUGACAACCUUGACAUUCUCCCACAGCAACAAAAUUUAAAUAUGUAUCUAUGAAUUUGAAGAAACGACUAAGAUUAAAUAAAAUUCUACUAACAUCAAUCUGUCUCAUAUGACAUGCUGAGAUGAUUUCCAUAAUAACAAUUAUUGGAUAUAAUUGCAUGAGAUGCAAUCCAUAGUUAAUCUUUCCUGGAAAAGUACAAAGUAAUCAGGUUCUUUCAUAAGCAAAUGGGUGACUGCCCUAUUCAAUUAUUCACUAUCUUUUAAAUGUCUGUGUAUGCCACCAUUUUAGGCACAUGUAUCUGUUAAGGUACACUCCAGUAACAACUAGACCACAAAAUAAAGUUAUUUUUAAAAGGAAAUAUAUUUCUUCCUCUUGUAAUAGCCUGACAUAUUAUUUCUAAUCAAUAGCAGCUUUCUUGAAUGCAGUGAUCCUGAGCCCCAGGUUCUUUCCAUCACAUAGCUCAGCCAGCUCUUGAGCCUUUAUCAACUUCUGCAUGUAGCUGGCAGCAGGCAGAAGAGGGCCUGGAGAUGAUGUGGGUUGUAAAUAAAUGCCUUAAAGGGAAAGACAUCACUACUGCUUAUUUAUCAUUGGCUAGAACUAGUCACAUGGCCAGCCCUAGAUGUAAAUGGACCUGGAAAAUGCAGUCCUGGCUUGGUAGGAGCAUCUCAGCAGCAAUUCUGUAUUACAGCAGGAAAAUCAUGAAUUUUAGUAGAUAGCUAGCUAGCUCUGUCAUUGUGCAGGCCGAUAAGAAGAAGAGGAAAUUGGGCCUCAAACCUAGGAAGCGUUCACAGUUUGCUGGGGAGAAGGUUGUGUACCAUGUAAGAUCUGUCUUCAAGGAGUGAGCUGAGUGCCGUGGAGAGUGACGACUUCUGCUUGGCGGGGUUGGGGAAGAUGGUGACACUGCUUUUACAGCAGUGGUACCUUUGCUCAGGAGACGUAGCCUAUAGUAAUCUUAAAGUAGUGGACUUGGUUAAAAGCAUUGUGUAGGAAUGGGAGGCUGGAGGAGAUGGGAAUGAAGAGGAAUAAUGAGAUAAUGUAGUUGUCUCUGCUGGUUCUUGAGUGUUAAGCCUCUAUUUUUCCCUCACUCUCCACUUGCCUUAUCACGAGUGGGUGACCUUGAUGAGACAUUUUCAACACGGUAUCUUUGCUUCCUUUUAAUCUCCUGUCAGUUGCUAUCACUGUCAGCAUGACCUAGCUCCAGUGAGACAUUUGGCUUUCACUGCAGCCUUACCGGGAAUGUUAAACUAUGUGCAAUCGUCAGGGUGGGAGGAAGCCGUAAAGUGGACACAUUACUUGAGGAGGUCCCUGAAGGAUAAUGGUCUUUCCUCUCAACAUUACAAGGAUUAGGAAGGCCUGCAUUUUGACUUUCUGGAUUCUUCUCUAGUUUGGGUUGAUAGAACUCGUCCUUUGAAUGUGGUCUCUUGAGGGCAGACUGCUGUUGUAUGCCAGGUGAAUUGUAAUGGACCCUUUCUUGUCAAGAAUGAGAAUGACCAGUGAUCAGUUUAAUGAAAGGCUCCAAGACUCCUGACAGAACUUUCGUUGGUGGAUUUGGUUUUUGUUUGUUUGGGUUUUUUUUUUUUUUUUUUUUUGUCUUUUCUAGGGCCGCACCCCAGGCAUAUGGAGGUUCCCAGGCUUUAAGGGUCUAAUCAGAGCUGUAGUCACUGGCCUACACCACAGCCACAGCAACGCGGGAUCUGAGCCUCGUCUGUGACCUACAUGGUGGUGGAUUUGUGGUUGUACCAUUCUUUGGGGUCUGUUUCUGAAACGAAUACCAAAAUGCAGCAAUCACCAUAAAAAUGCUUUGAAAAGUUAGAGUGACUUCAAUGCAGAUGAAAGAAGGUACUCAAUGAUUAUUUCAAAUGGAGAAUUUCCCUCAUGAUGUUUAGAUGAGGCACUUCAACUAGUCUGUCUUAUCUGAGGAAAAGCAGAAGUUGAGUUUGUGUGAGGCAUUUUAGUGAUUCUUUGAGCUGCUCCCCAACCACAGUAGGCAUGGAAAGAGAUCCAUGGAUAAAUCAUAAGCCUUGAAGUAGCUGGAGGUGGGCUGGGGACACAGGAACAACAAACAUAAAACAAUUGACAAGACAUGAAUGUAAAUGCAUAAAUUGACAGAAGAAAUGGAGGCAGUUAUUCAGAUAAUUAUGAAUUAUCUAUGAAUUACUUGCAUUUUUAUACAUUUUGCCAUUAAACAGAAUAGUUUCCUCCCUUUGAAAGCUUUUUAAGGAAAAAGGGGAGAAUUUCAUCGUUUUACUUGAUUUUCAGAUCUUGGUCCUUGAAUUCUGGUUGUGGCUUUGCCUCCUCUUCCCGCUAAAAUAGUGUCAGAGCCUUUGUUUCCAUAAAUCUGUAGAUGGACAACAUCUCCUGCUUUUCUACAGGCUCUGGAUUCUAACGGUACACGCUAAGGUUUUCUACUUUUUAUCAUGUUUGCUUUUGCUCUACCCUGCAUUUGAUGAGUUGCAGAAAGCAAGUGUUAAUCAUGAUAUAGCCUCUUGGCUUCCCACUACUUUUUCUCUGAGCUCUGGUCUUCCUUUCACUCUAUUCUUUUAUUUAUUU
rnacentral:lncRNA from 1 species